AAAGGUGUGCUUCUGAUGUUCUCGCAAACUCCUGAAACAAGUUGAGUCACGCUUGAAACAGGAAUAGUGCCAGUGCUGUGUGAUCGUAUCUGGUGGAGGAGAAGCUCGGGGUCACUGAAGAUGAUGUUUGAUAACAGAGAGAGGCAGCUGAACACUUUCUGGCCCCUCUCCUGAGACCAGUUUGCUUUGGGACACCCGACCAGGAUGACUCCAACAACAACACAGGUCCCAGGGUCACAGGAACACGCAAACCUCUCCACCACGAUAAG